rnacentral:lncRNA from 1 species
CCCCUUGAAGCAGGUGUCGAGUAUCGAGUACGCCGGCGCCCGCGGGUAGCCCCUCAGCGCUGCUGCCACCGCGCUGCUCAAUGCGUCGUAAACGUCCGACGGGAGCCGCGUGAUGACCGUCCCCGAGUCGAUGACCGUCGGCGUACCGGUGUAGGCCGAGGACGACACCGGCAGACCUCGACCGCCGACGGUAAUGCUGGUGAGCCUGACGAAGUACAAGGUGUCGUCCAACGAGCUCGACUGCAUGGGGGUGUAUGAGUACUGCCCCGGUUCGUAGGUGCCGAUCGACAGGUAUCCGGUGGAUCCGGUGGUG